rnacentral:misc_RNA from 1 species
UCUCCGUAGGUGAACCUGCGGAGGGAUCAUUACAAGUGACCCCGGUCUUACCACCGGGAUGUUCAUAACCCUUUGUUGUCCGACUCUGUUGCCUCCGGGGCGACCCUGCCUUCGGGCGGGGGCUCCGGGUGGACACUUCAAACCCUUGCGUAACUUUGCAGUCUGAGUAAACUUAAUUAAUAAAUUAAAACUUUUAACAACGGAUCUCUUGGUUCUG